AUAUAUAUAUAGAUAAUUAAAUUAAGCUCCACCCAAACAGGCUCUAAGCCUUGUUCGGUGGAGAGGAAAUAUAAAUAAUUGGGGUAUCACCGAAUACCCCAUUUGAGCUGCUAUUUACAGUAAACAACAAGAAGAAGAUGAGAGAAAGAAGAAGGAGAAGAAGAAAAGAGAAGAGGAGAAAGAGAUAAGGCAGGAACUGGGUUACCUGAGGUAGACUUUGGAUCGAUUGUGCCCAUAGAUGACGAGGCCAGUAUUUUUCCGACUUCCUACUUUGCUCAUGAGAUAUUGACCAUGGAUCACUUGGAGUAUUUUUUAGAGGAUGAGGCCGACCAUGGACCCGAUUGUGACUAUGACGACUAUGCCUGCAAAGGCCAGUACUUUUGAGGAGUAGAGAGUUAUCCUGACAUUACCUUUUUGUGUAUAUACUUCCGUUGAUAGCACUCUGAUGUCUAUAAUUGUAUAUAGUUACUUGUGAGAAGUUAUACUUUUUUGUGUAAAUAUUCUUUUCAGAUAAAUGUACAUAUAUGUAUACUUUCAUUUGGAUAACUAUAAUAUAAAGUAUCACUUAUAAACAC